AAUUUUGGGUAGAGCAGACAUUUCCAUAUGUUGUCGUUAGCUGUGUGUGUGACAUAACUCCACCAGUGGUAUUUAUGACAUCAUUUAUGAUUUUACCUUUUCUAAACAUUCUUUACAAAAAUACUGUUUUUUUUAUCAAUUAGUAUUUUUGAGUUUAAACCACAAUAUGUCAUGUAUUAUUUGUUAGGAAUCUUCUGGUGGAUUAAACUGAAAUUGAAACCAACUUUCUACGGCUUGUGAUAGUGAUAGCUGGAAAGAAACGGGAGAUGAUUUCCUUUUAAAAUAACUGAGAGUGAGAAAAAGGGAAAAAGAUCAUACCUUUCUUAUUUCCAGACAUGGUUCAGGUGGAGGAUGGAGAGUUCAAAAUAACUUGACGUGGUGUCUCUCUGUUUCUGUCUGGAUGGAGGGAGAGUUCAGUUCAAUGUAACUUGCUGAGGUGUCUCUCUGUUUCUGUCUGGAUGCAGUCUACUGUUUUCAAAACACGGUAGCAAACAGUAGCGAAACAUUUCCCAAAGGAAGCGUCAUGCAACAAAAACCAAGAGUUUCUAUUGGACAAUUCUGUUCUGAAGGCCCCUCUCCCCGCGUUGUUCGUUUUGUUUCCUAGUGAACACACAUUGAGCUCCAGCUCCUCCUUCCUGAACAGAAAUUAAGAGGAAUGUUAAGUUAUGAUUUCCUGAAGAUGGGUGGGGGCAAAUGUAGAGUGUUUAUAACAAUCUGACAGAGUGGUGUGUGUGUGUGUGUCUGUGUGUGUGUGUGUU
rnacentral:lncRNA from 13 species